CACGGGUACUUGUACCUGGUGGCGAGCGGCGGACGGGUGAGUAAUGCCUAGGAAUCUGCCUGGUAGUGGGGGAUAACGCUCGGAAACGGACGCUAAUACCGCAUACGUCCUACGGGAGAAAGCAGGGGACCUUCGGGCCUUGCGCUAUCAGAUGAGCCUAGGUCGGAUUAGCUAGUUGGUGAGGUAAUGGCUCACCAAGGCGACGAUCCGUAACUGGUCUGAGAGGAUGAUCAGUCACACUGGAACUGAGACACGGUCCAGACUCCUACGGGAGGCAGCAGUGGGGAAUAUUGGACAAUGGGCGAAAGCCUGAUCCAGCCAUGCCGCGUGUGUGAAGAAGGUCUUCGGAUUGUAAAGCACUUUAAGUUGGGAGGAAGGGCAGUAAAUUAAUACUUUGCUGUUUUGACGUUACCGACAGAAUAAGCACCGGCUAACUCUGUGC
rnacentral:rRNA from 1 species